CAAAGGCUUGGUCCUGACUUUACUGUCAGCUCUAGCUAGAUUUACACAUGCAAGUAUCCGCACCCCUGUGAGAAUGCCCCUACAGUUCCCUGCCCGGGAACAAGGAGCCGGUAUCAGGCACACUCCCAUUAGCCCAAGACACCUUGCUUAGCCACACCCUCAAGGGAACCCAGCAGUGAUAAACAUUAAGCUAUAAGUGAAAACUUGACUUAGUUAAAGCUAAAAGGGCCGGUUAAACUCGUGCCAGCCACCGCGGUUAUACGAGAGGCCCAAGUUGACGGACAACGGCGUAAAGAGUGGUUAAGAGCACUUAUAAAACUAAAGCCGAACGCUUUCAAAGCUGUUAUACGCACAUGAAAGUAAGAAGCCCAACUACGAAAGUGGCUUUAUACAAUCUGAACCCACGAAAGCUGGGAUACAAACUGGGAUUAGAUACCCCACUAUGCCCAGCCCUAAACAUUGAUAGUUCAAUACACCCACUAUCCGCCAGGGAACUACGAGCAUUAGCUUAAAACCCAAAGGACUUGGCGGUGCUUAAGAUCCACCUAGAGGAGCCUGUUCUAGAACCGAUUACCCCCGUUCAACCUCACCCUCCCUUGUUUUUUCCGCCUAUAUACCGCCGUCGUCAGCUUACCCCGUGAAGGCCCAAUAGUAAGCAAAACUGGUUUAACCCAAAACGUCAGGUCGAGGUGUAGCGCAUGAGAGGGGAAGAAAUGGGCUACAUUUACUAACCUAGUAAAUACGAAUAAUAUACUGAAACGUAUACUUGAAGGAGGAUUUAGCAGUAAGCGAAAAAUAGAGCGUUCCGCUGAAACUGGCC
rnacentral:rRNA from 1 species